rnacentral:rRNA from 1 species
CCCUAUUAUUUUAGAAUGUUAAUUUUUGUGCCUGAGUAGUAUUAGUUAUGUUCUUGAAACUUAAAGAAUUUGGCGGUAUCUCAUUCCGUCCAGAGGAAUCUGUCCCGUUAUCGAUAGUCCGCGCUGGACCUUACUUAUUUGAUUUUGGUUUGUAUACCGCCGUUUAUUGAUUAUCUUUUUAGGGUUUAUUUAAUUUUCUGGUUUCUUUAUUUUGAUGUAUUUCAGGUCAAGGUGCAGCUUGUUUUUAAGUGGAAUGAUGGAUUACAUUGUUAUUUGUUUAUGGAUUGUCGGUUUUAAUAUUGGCAUGAAAUUGGAUUUGGUUGUAAUGAUUUGUAGAUUGUUAUUAUGAUAAUGGUUCUGGGAUAUGCACACAUCGCCCGUCGCUCUCGUUUGUUUAUAUAAUGAGAUAAGUC